AUGCUCACUUCAGCAGCACAUAUACUAAAAUUGGAACUAUACAGUGAAGAUUAGCAUGGCCCCUGCACAAGGAUGACAUGCAAAUUCGUGAAGUUCCAUAUGUGUAU
ensembl:snRNA U6 U6 spliceosomal RNA